UACGUAGGGUGCAAGCGUUAAUCGGAAUUACUGGGCGUAAAGCGUGCGCAGGCGGUUUUGUAAGUCUGUCGUGAAAUCCCCCGGGCUCAACCUGGGGAAUUGCGAUGGAGACUGCAAGGCUAGAAUCUGGCAGAGGGGGGGUAGAAUUCCACGUGUAGCAGUGAAAUGCGUAGAGAUGUGGAGGAACACCGAUGGCGAAGGCAGCCCCCUGGGUCAAGAUUGACGCUCAUGCACGAAAGCGUGGG
rnacentral:rRNA from 1 species